rnacentral:rRNA from 1 species
UUUCACUGAAACAAGGGAAAACAUUAGCAGCAGUAAGGAGUUUUAUGUAAUAUACGAAAGUAAGACAUAGUUAGGACAUUUUUAUCUGUCAAAUUAAGUGCCAGCAGACGCGGUGAAACUUAAGGAUUUGUUUUUUAGAAAAAGCAGAAAGCGUGUAAAGGUAAAAAAAUAUUUAAAAUAAAUAGAAUUUUUUUAGUAAUAGUGAAAUAUUAUUAUAAGGAAAAGAAUUCUUUAUGUGAAAAUAAUUUAUUUUUUUUUUCUUAAGCACGAGGGUUUUGGGGGUAAACAGGAUUAGAGACCCUGGUAAUCAAUACAGUAAAAAAAAAUCGCUUGAGUAGUACGGUCGCAAGAUUAAAAUUCAAAAAAUUUGGCUGUUCAUUGUUAUUUAGAGGAGCGUGUCGUUUAAUUCGAUAAUCCGCGAAUUACCUUACCAAGACUUGGUUUUCCGGUGUUGCAUGGCCGUCGUCAAUUUGUGUUUGAUACAAUAAAUUAAACCCUAGAAAGGUUGAAGUCAGGUAUUAUUGCCCUUAUGUUUUGGGAUUAGAUGCGCUACAUUUUUUUAAUAAAAAAAAAAGAGUUCGGAUUGUUUUUUAAAUAGAGCAAUUAAGUUGAAUUUAAUAGUAAUUGAAAAGUAGAGCGUUUCAAUGAAUUUAAAACAAUGUUAGUACAAAUUGCCCGUCGCCUUUGCUGAGGUAAACAAAGCAGAGUAAGUCGUAACA